UUAAAAGGACAUAUUUAUAAUUUGAUAUCAUGUAUUAUGCAAAAAAAAAAAAAAAAAAAAAAGAGGAGAGUGAUGAAUUUUUAUCAAAAAUAUACACACGCACAUACAACAACAACAUCCUUUUUUUCCUUCAUUAAUCUUCUCCUUCCUCCAUCGUCAACAAAACCACAACUAAUAAUAAUAACAAUUUAACUCCAAUUUUAUUUGUCCUCUUCCACUUCACUCUACUUUGACAUCACUGCAAACACACACCACACACGAUUCACACACACAAAAAAAAUAAUCAGCUUUCUCACUUUCUCCUUCUGACUGCCGCCAACAGCCAUGACCGGCGAGCUCCCCGUUGGCAUAACACACCUCCACUACCCACUACCUCCAUUCUCUCCAAUAUUCUAGCCUCUGGCUGCUUCGGCGAAGCAGUUCCAGCCGCCGCUGCCCUUCCCCUCCCAUCUUCCUCCUUUGUUUGCCGUCAUCUCUCGCCGAAAGUGAUGACCAGCGAGCCUUGAGUUCCAACGCUCUACCACUGCACUAUCUUACUGGAUAUGGUCAGAUCUGGCCGAAUUUUAGACUCCGGCGUAGCUACGGUAAAAACUCCACUGAAGCAACGCCGAUCACCUCGCCUCUUUUGCUUCGAUUUUCAGUGAAUCCUUUUGGGAUUUGUUUGGACUUGGAUUGUUCUUUCUAUUUCUACAUUUUUUAAAGCUAUGAUGACUGUUUUGAACUAAAAUUGGUCAAAAAAUUGAUUCCGAUGUAGUUACUAUUUGUCUGUAUAAUUAUUGAUCACCUGUUUGCAUUAUUUAGUGACCCUUAUCGCCCAUGGAUUUUGUCAUUGCUUUACUUUGACCAUUGAUUAUUGUUGUUAAUUGAGUUUUUUUAAAGUCGGUUGUACACUAUUUUUUGAUAUUUUUGACAAACUCCAUGGAUGUCGGACAAAUGUUUUGAUGCUGAUUUUUUUAUGUCUUUUGCUUUGAGGAGGACUUCUAUGGCUUUUCCUUUUUUUGUUAUUUUUGCUUGAUGCUAGUUAUUACGAUUAUGUUACAUUUCUUUUAUUAUUAUUUUAUUGUGGGCAGCUACUUUUUUUUUUUUUGGAAAAAAUAUAUAAAGUAGUAUAUUUAAGUAUUAAAUUACAAAAAAUAACAAUAUUUUUAUCAAAUUACAUUUUGUAACAUAUGUAUUUGUAUGUAUUUGUAUUUUUGUAGCAAUAGUUUGCAAAAUUACAAAAUACAUAUCGAUCAUAAGGACAGUAAAAUUCAUAUGUAUUUGUAUUUUUGUAGCAACAGCUUGCAAAAAUACAAAAUACAACUUGGUAUAUUAUGUAAUUAUCAAACUGUUGCUAUGAAAUUCAUAAUUAAGGGGAUAAGUAUGCUAUUUCUGAAUUUUGCCCUUUUUUUUUAACUGAUUGGGUUGAUUUUGUCCUUUAUAUUUAACUAGGGAAAGUUACCGCGCUUCGCGCGAUUGUGAAAUACGCCUGGAGAUUUUUUUUUUCUAUUAUUAUAACUAGAUUCUCUACACGUGCGUUGCAUAUGAAUACCUUAUCUCGAAAUACAUAUUGUAAAAAGGACCAUUUUAGCUAUGUUUGGAUAUGCAGUAGCAAUAUAAUUUAAGCUAAGUUUGAAAUAAUUGACUGAACAUAGUUUAAAAUAAGUAGUUCUAUCAAAAGAAUAUAAUAAAUUCUUCAGCGAAAGUCGAAUGUUGAUGGUUAUAUCGUCUAUUAUAGAACGUAUGAAAACAACCAAAUGAACAUUUAAUUAGACACGUAAUUCAUGUAUUUAUUCUGAUUUGAUUAAGGUUAAACAUGUAAGUAAUCGUAUCUCACCUAAUACUUUCUUAUAGAGGAUAUUCCUUGUAUGUGUUCCUAUCUAUUGAUCUGCCUAUAUUGUCAUAACCAAUAAUUUUGUGCCUAUAUUGUCAUAACCAAUAAUUUUGUUUUGUUUAUAUAGCAGUUUUCAUAAUUUAUUUACCUGUGUUAAAUACCUUCUGUAGUCCAUACUAUUUGUCCAAAUUUUACAUUCGUUAACAGAUUUGUUUGAGUAGGUCACACUAUUUUCUUAUUAUUAUUAGGGAGUACCUGCUUGUUGAGGAAUUGGUUUGAAAGUUUUGGUUGGUGCCACUUCGAGAGUUUGCAGCGCUCAUAUGUAGGGUUGUAAAAUCUGUUUAGAAUUAAAUAGGCUGGGGUAAUUUCGUAUUUCAAAUAAGUUUGUUUAAAUUUAAUGAGUGAGUUCAUCUAUCAGUUUCGACAAGUGAGCAGUAAAGGUAAACUGACCUAACAUAGCCUUUCCAAGUUGCCCGUUGAUCAGUUCGCUAUUAUAGAAAUAAGCAAAUCCAUCACUUGGACACAAUUUUUCCUCUUUCCCACUGUUACUCUUUUCUGUUACUGUUAAGUUUACAUAGAGUCCAUCUCAGUCAUUUGAAGAUCCAAAGACAAGACAUGCAAUAUUUCAAAAAUGAUGGAAGCAGAACUUAAUAAAUACCACCAACUAAUAAAAAAAGAAGGAAAUCUAUGACAAUUUUGGUUAGUGUGAAUAUCCAUAUUCCAGUUCAAUACGCAUAUCUAAAAAAGAUGACUUUUGUUGCUUUAGACAAAAAGACUUCAAAGAUCGAAACUUUUAUCAAAUGUUAUUUUUAAAAUUUAAUAGUAUUAACACAAAAAAGAGUUACAAAUACUAACAACUCUGUGAACAGGGAACCAACCUUUCUCACUUACUCUAUGUUUUCAAAGAACUAAACAAACAAAAGGAUAUAAAGAAAUAAGAAAAGAAGUGCUGAAGCAACUUAAAUGCCCCCAUCUUUCUAAGCACCUCUCACAAGAACCAACUCGAUAACCCCUUGUUUCCUUUUCUUUUUUUCUCGAUUACCCUCGUAUCUACUGCUUGGCCUAACAUAUAAUCUAUUGUAACAAAGAGAAUUGGUCAUAUGUUGAAGAUUCUCUUUACAAGUUUUGCUACCGACAUUCCCUUAUGACACACAGUACCUCAAAAACUAAUCCCAGAGAUCCCUUUUCAACUAAGACCUAAUCUUCACUAACUAAUGGAAAGAAGUGGAAAUUACCAACUCAUGUUUGAAAAGGGUAAAAAAAAUGGAAAUCAUAUGAUGGUGUGGGUAAGCAAGCUCCAGAACCAGCAUAUCCCUAAAAGGUUAUUGCCGUAUUUCAGAGUGCAAGUUCACAUAUGCUUAAUAUUUGUGAAAUGCACUUUGCCAGAAAAGUAAUCCAUAAAUGGUUUAUUCUUGCUAACCACUGCAGUUCAAAUGUUGAAUCUGUACAAUUGUUACUUUUGGAUUUUUUCAAAAUACUUCCUGAACACUUCGUUGGCUUGUAAAACCUUAUGUACGACCAAUCAUCAAGUGAGUUUGAGAAAUGAAAGGAGCCCAUAGAGGAUUAGAAAGAGAAUCAAGGAAAAUAGAAUGUUUGGAACAAAAACUCCAUGGCAACAAACAGAAUUAGAAGUUUACUCUGUCGAGGUUCAACCUAACCUUAAUAAAUUCUGGAGUUGGUAAAUCUAUAGGAUCCAUUGCGUCGCCCAUCUAUGAGCAUCUAUAAGUUUAAAGGAAGCAUGAUUAUGGAAUGUGUCCUACCUCAUAAUGAGAAAGAAAGAAGUCAAAAAAUCUAGGUUAGAAGCAACUAAUAUUUCUUCAUUCUUCGGAGUGCAUAAAUUUCUUUGAAUCUGUAUUUUCAUCAAAAAUACAUGAAGGAGAAAACUAAUAUAGGAACAAGUAAUGAACAAGUUCGAUAGUUCUUCAUAGACCGUUUUGACCAUAGAUAGGGGAAUUGAUCAUGAGGUGUCUGUUGGAAUGUGCCUUUUGGGUUUUGGAUAUUUGGAGCGAAUUAGUCAAGUUGUGUGAUAUAUAUAGCGUAAGUAAUGGGCUAAAGGGUAAGUUGGAAUUUAAACUGUUUUAUUAAAAUUAAAAGAGUUGGUGGUAUUGUUGUAAUUUCACUUUAAGUUUUUUGAGUUGGUGCUUUUAAGGUAGUAUAGAUAGAUAUGGAUAUAGAUAUAGAUUUUAAAAUAAUUUAACUAUUAUGAAAUAUAAAGAAAGAACAACAAGAAGAGUAGAGAGAGAAUAGAUACUAAUUCUUAUUUCUCUUGAGAAUGAGAGAUCAUAAGAUUAAGAAUACAAUGAAUAAAACCUCUCUAUUUAUCGGGAAAAAUACUCCUAGUUUCUGAUUAAAAGACAGAUACUUCAAAUCCUGAUAGAUAUCAACUAGAUCUUAUUACAUCUUGAUAGGCAUUCACUAUAAUGUAAAUACAUUUAUAACACUUCUCCUUGAAUGUCUAGAUAUAUAAUGUGCCUCGUUAAAACCUUACUAGAAAAAACCUAGAGGAAAAAAAAUCUAGUGAAAAAAAAGAGUACACAUAUAUAACAUUAUGCAUAUAGGUUGCCUCAAUAAAAACCUUACAAGGAAAAUCCAGUGUGACAAAACCUUGUAAGAAAAAAAGAGUACAACGCGUAUCAACUCCCCCAAAUGAGAACAUUCUUGAACCUUUACAUCCUAAUCUUGUGAAGCAUCUUCUCUAAAGUUACAAUUGGAGAAGAUUUGUUGAAUAAAUUAGCUGCAUUGUCACUUGAAUGAAUCUGUUGCACGUUAAUAUCACCAUUCUUUUUAGCUCAUGUAUGUAGAAAAGCUUUCGUAAAAUGCGUUUUGUUCUAUCUCCUUUUAUGAAUUCUCCCUUAAGAUAUGCUAUAUAUGCUGCAUUAUCUCUGUAUAAAAUUAUGGGUUGAUUGUCAUAUUUCACACCACAUUUUUCUCGAAUGAGAUGUAUCAUGGACCUCAACCAUAUACAUUCUUAGCUUACAUCAUGAAUAGCUAUUAUCUCAGCAUGAUUCGAUGAAGUGGCUACGAUAGACUACUUUGUAUAUCUCCAAGAUAUCAUACUACCACCACAUAUGAACACAUUUUUUUGAGAUCGAGCUUUAUGUGGGUCAGAUAAGUACCCAACAUCAGCAUGACUAAUAAGAUCAGGACUGCAAUCUUUAGAAUAAAACAAAAUCAUGUGUUUUAUCCCAUUCAGAUGUCUCCUGGUAGGAGCAGAAAUAUACCUUGCUAACAAAUUAACUGAAAAAGAUAUAUCGGGCCUUGUAGUAUUUGCAAGAUACAUAAGUGCACCACUUGCACUAAGAUAUGGUACUUCAUAACCAAUCUAAUUCGGUAUAUUUCUCAUUUCAGCAAAUAAUCUAUUUCUUUGAAAACUCUCCAAGAGUUUCAAUAAUUUUCAAGAUAUAAGCUUAUACAAUAUAAGGAUUGUCAAUAAGUUUUCCAGAAACUUUUAUAUUUUGAAUCCUUAAAGAAGUUUUCAUAUAAAUUUUGUCAAGUAUAAUUUAAACAUUUCAUGUGUGACAUCUUCAAGUGUCUGAACUGCAAAUCAAAUAGUUUUACGCGCAUCCUUUCAUGUCACUUGAUAAAUAUUUUUAUAUCAGCAUGUUUAAAUUAAUGUAGAAUUUAGAUCCUCGUCAUUUUUUACAAUAUUGUUGUUAUGACCCUUAUGGUCAUUUUUCUGUAUUUUCAUAUAAUUUUAGUACCAUCUAAAUAUAUCGUGGACUAUUUAAUUUAAUUUGGCAUUGAGUAGAAAUAUAAUUUAGUACCCUUCUAGAACAUUUUCGAUAUUGAUAAAAUUCUUUAAGUGAUGAUAUAUUUAUAUCACUUUAUAAUAGACUUUUAUGAUUUAUUAAUAUUUUAAGUGGAGAUAAUAAUUUUAGAAAUAUUAAAAUAUUAUUAUUAUACAAUAGAAUUUUUGUUAAAAAUAAUUUUCUAUUAAUUAUGAUAUAUUCAAAAUAUUAUAAUUAUUUUAUCAUGAACUUCUAUAAUACCCAAAUAUGUAUGCAAUGUAAAAAAGUUAUUACUUGUGGCUAAUUACCACCACACGUGAGAAAGAAAUGUGCACAGCAACAUGGUGUUAGUUGGCAACCAUACACUUGUCCCAUUGUCCAUUUGGAAUAGUUUUCAUCUUCUUUUAUAUAUACAUAUAUUAACUAAUAUAUAUUCACACAACCAUAAAUGGUAGUGGUGGUAAUCAAUAAAUAUUCUGUUUAGCAAUAAGGCAAGUCUAAGUUGUAGUGCUUUUAUGUAUAUGCAUGUACUGUUCAUCUAUAUAUACACUGUAGAAAUAGUUUUUGGGGAGAAAAAAAAUUAUAUAUUUUGACACCAUUUGAACAUUAAAUUAAAAUUUGAUUAUUCAAGCUUGGAUUCUAGUAGCGUUAUUUUGAGGCUUCAAGAAAGGGCUUUUUAACAUUGGUGUCCAGGUAGACUAGGCUUGCCUUACCUUUAGAUUGAGCUUAUUUACUGAAAUUGUAAACUAUUAUGCUAGCUUUGGAUAAGUACUUGUAGAUGCGUAUUAUUUGAUUUAUAUAAAUUGUCUUAUUUAUCCGGACUACGACCCCGUUCUAGUAAAUAUUGAAUAUUAUCUUUUAAUAUAAUAUAGCAUCUAUAACUUUAGGAUGUGAAACUAAAAUGCAAAAAUCUUGAAUUUAUCCCUUUUUAAUUAAAAUUGGUGGAUGAUUAUUUAGACGUUGAUAUUGUUAUGAUAUGGUAUGGAUUUUAAUAUUACAGUUGGGUAUGGUUACUAUGAGUUCCCAUUCGAGUUCGGCAUUUGAUUAUUAAUGUUACCAUGAGUUUCGGUUCGAGUCCGACAUUUGAUUAUCAAUGUUACCAUGAGUUUCGGUUCGAGUCCGACAUUUGAUUAUUAAUGUUACUAUGAGUUCCGGUUCGAGUAGGCAUCUGAUUAUGGUUAUGAUUCCUCUGAGUUUCGGUUCGAGUCUGCAUUUGAUUAUGAGUUCUAUAUAUGUGGACAAUCGUUAUUAUCCACUAUGUCUGGUUCAAAUCUGGCACGUGUCCUCUUGUUAUUAUCCAUUACUAUCGGUUCGAGUCCAGUGUCUGGCAUCUCGUUACUACCCAUUGAUACCGAUUAGAGUCUGGUGCACAUUUGGAUGACUAUUAUGAUUUAUUGGGAUCAACACAGUUAUAGAUUAUUUAUGUUUAUUUUUAUUACUUGUUUGUCCCACCGACUUAUGGGGGUACAGUUGGGUUAAUUGUCUUCUUUAGUGUGCCUAGCGAGCUUAUGGGGGCCCUGCUAGGUUAUGUUUGACUUUCCUAUCAUUACUGCAUUAUUUAUUUUCUGUAUCGCUUACACUUAUUCCUUUAUCUCAUUGGCGUAACUUGGUAGUUAUUUACCUUUUCUUCCCCUUUACUGUUGACUUGGAUUACGCCCUCGCAUUUUAGUUUUACCUUUUCUGUAUUGAGCUCAGUCGACCGCUGAUACCUGCUGAGUACAUGUUAUUUUGGUACUCAUACUAUACUUCUGCAUCUUUUCCUGAUACAGAUCUGGGUACCAGCAGUGGAUAAUGACGUGACUUCUACCUUCCAGUACUGAUUCAGAGGAGGGUGAGCUUGCUGCCGUCCAAGGCUGAUCCUUCUCUAUCUAUUCUAGUUAGUAUUUUGCACUCGAGACUACUUAUGUUUACUGUGUACAUUUUAGAUUUCUUGUCUAGUACUCUGGGUAUCUGUUAGUAGUGGCUCUGGUACUAGCCUUAUCAGGUCUUGGGAGGGAUUCAUUUGUACAGUUGGUUCUUUUUCCUCCUCUCAUUUUGAUAUAAUAUAUAUAUAUAUUCCCUCUUCUUAGUUUUUACUUGUUAUUGUUGUUGUUAUCAUUAUAAGUGAUCUUUUAUUUGGUCUCUGCCUAUUAGCCUGUUACUUAUCAUUCCGGACUAUGGCUUGGCUUGCCUACUGGUGGGUUAAAGUAGGUGCCAUCACGACUUAAGAAAGUAGGUCGUGACAACUUGGUAUCACAGCUUAGAUCUUACUGGUAUUGUUAGUACUGGAGUCGAUGUUUAGUAGAGUUGCGUGGAUCGGUACGAAGACGUCUAUAUCCUAUCCUUGGGAGGCUACUUAGCAUAUUUAGGAAAAAAUCUCAUUUUUUUGGUCCAUUUUUGUGCGUUGAGUUUGGGUUGGUUGUAACCUUUUUUUUGUUGGUUUACUCUUUAUGCAGAUGGCAAGAAAAUACAAGAUUUGAGAGCGGGAUGUCCGGGCUCGAGGUCAGCUUCUAGAGUUCUAUCUUGGGGUCAAGGUCGGCCCAGACAUCAUGGGCAGGGUAGAGCAGCAACCCCUUUUAGAGAUCAGGCUAGGGAUCCAUCACCUGAUUCUGUUAUAGCUUUGGGGAUUGAGAGAGCUCCAGGUAUUCUGCCACAUCAGUAGGUAGGCCAGGGUCAGCCCAGGCUCUACUCGUCUUUAUAUCUUCGUCGAUUGUUUGGGAUACAUUAGUUCAGUUAUUAGGGUUAGUUGGUGGUCCACCGGCCAUGGGAGCUUAGCCAGCAACACAAACUGGUAUUCAUUUAGGGGCACAGCCUGUGGAAGCAGUGCCUAGGGUGAAAGUUCCAGCAACACCAGUAGUCCCAUAGCUAGUAGUAGCCUAGCCAGCUAUGUCUAUAGAGGAGCAGAAGAUGUUGGAUCGAUUUUUGAGAUUGAAUCCACCCAGGUUUGCUGGGACCCCGGGAGAGGAUGCUCAUGAGUUCCUAUCCAGUUGCGAGGAGCAGUUGCGAAAUUUAGGGCUAGUUGAGGCUCAAGGAGUAGACUUUGUUUCUUAUCAGUUCGACACGGCAACGGAGAGAUGGUGGAGAAGUUAUCUUAAUUUCAAGCCAUCUGGAUCUCUACCAGUGACUUGGAUUCUGUUCUUCGAGGCUUUCUUGGGGAAGUAUAUGCCUCGUAGCUUGCGUGAGCGUCUUUGAGAUGAGUUUACCGCAUUGAGACAGGGUUCUAUGACUCUGGUUGAGUAUGAGGAGAGAUUCCAUGAGUUAACCAAACACUCUACUAUGAUUCUGGAUAUGAAGUACGAGCAGAUUUGAUGCUUUGUUAAGGGAUUAAGAUUGUUACUUUUUAAGGAUAUAUAGAGUUUGGUGACUUCAGGAAAGUCUUUUUUGGAGAUAACCGAGCUUGUUUAUUCCAUAGAGAAGAUGGAUCAUGAGGCCCAAGGGGGCAGCGAUAAGAGAAUAUGCUACCAGGGAAGUUACAGCGAUUCACAGUUCUUAGGUUGAGGAUUUCACGAUAGGUACCCUGAUCCACAGCCUUCUCAGCAUCAAGGUUAGCCUAGCUGGCCAGUUCAGGCAUCUCUUCAGAUAUUCGAGAGGGAUCAAACCAUCCAUAGUAGUUCCAAUGGUCAGAGCAGUAGCCAACCGCCGAGAGGUGUUUAUUCAGGAUUGUCGAGUAGGGGUGGUCAUUCUGGAUUCGCCGAACCUUUUAUAUAGAGCAGGGUGCCCGGGGUAUGUUAUGACUGUAGGGUUGUUGGUCACUUUUCUCGUGAGUAACCUUAUUAUAGGAUGAUUGAUCCUUUAAUACUAGCUGUCCAGCUGAUCAGAUCAGUGCCUUCAUUAGGCAGGGGUGGUGUACAGGGUCAUAGAGGUGGUUCCCAGGGUUCUGGAGGUGGUCUACAGGGAAGUAGGGUAGAUGGUCGAGCAGGUAACCAGUCCAGUAAUAAACAAGGUAAUUUGUUUGCUGUUCUAGGUAGAUCAGGGGAUGAGGCUUCAGAUGUUGUAAUCACAGGUACGAUUUUCAUGUUCCAUCAGCCAGCUUCUGCUUUGUUUGAUACCUGUUCCACAUUUUCAUAUGUUUCUGCUUAUUUUGCAUCGCGGCUAGGUAUAUGUGCGGAGUCUUUAUUUUUGCCAUUAUGUGUGGCUACCCCAGUGGGUGAUUCUUUAGUAGUGGAUCAGGUAUAUAAAUCUUGUUUGGUGACUAUUUGGGAGUUUUAUACUCAGAUUGACCUCGUUGUCCUAGAUAUAGUAGAUUUUGAUGUGAUUCUAGGCAUAGAUUGGCCAUCUCCUUACCUUGCGAUCUUGGAUUAUUUUGCUAAGACCAUUACUUUAGCUUUGCCUGGUAUACCGCCAGUUGUGUGGCAGGGUUCUGUUAGCCGCGCACCGAUGUGGAUUAUGUUGUACAUCCGAUCUAGGAGACUGUUAUCAAGGGGUUGUGAGUCAUUUCUUGCAUAUGUUUGGGAUGUUAGUGCUGAGAGUCUCCUGCUUGACUCUGUCCUUGUUGUUUGCGAGUUUUCUGAUGUAUUUUCGAUUGAACCUACCUGGCCUUUCUCCUAAGAGUGAUGUAAAGUUUAUUAUUAACCUCGAGCUAGGCACCUGGCCUAUUUUUAUGGCUUCUUAUCGUAUGUCUCCUGCCAAGUUGAAGGAGCUGAAUAGUCAGCUUCAGGAUCUUCUGGGUAAGGGUUUUAGUAGACUGAGUGUAUCUCCUUGAUGUGCUCCAGUUUUGUUUGUAAUAAAGAAAGAUGGAUCCAUGCGUAUGUGUAUCGACUAUAUGCAGUUGGAUAAGGUGACUGUGAAGAAUAAGUAUCCUAUGCCUCGUAUUAAUGAUUUGUUUGAUCAGCUUCAGGGUGCGACAGUGUUUUCUAAGAUAGAUUUGAGGUCCGAUUACCAUCUGUUAAGAUAACUUUCAGGACUUGUUAUGGUCAUUAUGAGUUCUUAGUGAUAUCUUUUGGGUUGACCAAUGCCCCAAAAGCUUUUAUGGAUCUGAUGAAUCGCGUGUUCAGGCCAUAUUUGGACUCUUUCGUGAUAGUAUUUAUUGAUGACAUUAUUGUAUAUUCAAAGAGCUAGGAGGAGAACGAGUAGCAUUUGAGGACUGUACUCCACACUUUGAGAGACCACAGGCUUUAUGCCAAGUUCUCAAAGUGUGAGUUUUGGAUUGAGUCUGUAGCUUUCUUGGGGCAUAUAGUGACCAAGGAUAGUAUUAUGGUGGACCUAUCCAAGAUUGAGGCUAUUUGUGGUUGAGCUAGGCCUAUGUCACCUUCUGAGGUUCGCAACUUUAUUGGUUUGGUAGGUUACUAUAGGCGGUUCAUUGAGGGAUUUUCUUUUAUUCCAGCCCCUAUGACUAGAUUAACCAGGAAGGAGGUUCCGUUUUAGUGGUCUGCAUUGUGAGUUGAGCUUUAUGAAGCUCAAGGAUUUUCUUACUUCAACUCCUAUUCUAACUCUUUUUAUUAAGGGCGAGAGUUUUAAUGUCUAUUGCAAUGCAUCUAUGUUGGUUUAGGGUGUGUUCUGAUGCAGCAUAGUCGUGUUAUUGCAGAUGCAUCGAGACAGUUGAAGGUACAUGAGCGCAACUACCCUACUCAUGACUUAGAUUUGGUAGCAGUAGUAUUUGCACUUAGGAUUUGGAGACAUUAUUUGUAUGGGGGUUCACUUUAAAAUAUUUACUGAUCAUCAUAGUCUUCAGUAUAUUAUGACCCAUAAGGAGUUUAAUUUGAGGCAACGCAGGUGGAUUGAGUUGCUGAAGGACUAUGAUAUCUCUAUUCUCUAUCAUCUGGGCAAGGAGAAUGUGGUAGCAAACGCCUUGAGUUGGAAGUCAGUGAGUAUGGGUAGUUUAGCUUUCAUUUCAGCUUCUCAAAAGCCGUUGGCUUUGGACAUUCAGUCCUUAGCUAACACGAUGGUUUAUUUGGAUAUUUUUGACCCUCGAAGAAUCAUUGCUAGUGUCGAGGCCAGAUCUACCUUGUUGGAGUAGAUUUGGAGUCGCCAAUUUAAGGAUGACAUGCUUCGUAGCAUUCGAGAGCAGGUGUUGAGGGGUGAGUCUCAGUGGGCUACCCUAGAUUUUGAGGAUGUCUUGAGGUUUGACGGUCGUAUUUAUGUCCCAAGGAUUGGAGAUUUGAUCCAGUUGAUUCUUCAUGAGGCUCAUAGAUCCAGAUAAUCUAUUCAUCCCGAGAAUGCUAAGAUGUAUAGGGAUUUGAGGUAGCAUUACUGGUGGAGUGGUAUACGGAGAGAUAUAGCAGGGUUUGUAGCUCGAUGUAUUUGUUGUCAGUAGGUAAAGGCCGAGCAUCAGAGACCUGGUGGAUUGAUUCAGCAGUUACCCAUUCUCGAGUGGAAAUGGGAGUGAGUUACUAUGGAUUUCAUAGGUGGAUUGCCUCGUACUUCACAUGGUUUUGAUAGAAUUUGGGUCAUUAUGGAUCGAUUGACCAAGUAUGCACAUUUUAUCCCCAUUCUAGUUUCCUACAGUGCCGAGAGGUUAGUUCGUGUUUACAUCCAGGAGUUAGUUCGCCUACAUGGGGUCCCUGUCUCUAUUAUUUCCAAUCGAGGCUCUCAGUUCACUUCUAGCUUUUGGAGGGCAUUUUCGGAGAAGUUGGGGACCCAGGUUGACCUUAGCACAACCUUCCAUCCCCAGACUAAUGGGCAGUCAGAGCGGACUGUCUAGGUUUUAUAGGAUAUGCUCCAUGCUUGUGUAUUGGAUUUUGGAGGUCAGUGGGACCCGUUUUUACCUUUGGUAGAGUUUGCAUAUAAUAACAUCUUUCACUCGAGUAUUCAGAUGGACCCAUUUGAGGCAUUAUAUGGUAGGAGAUGUCAAUCUCUUGUUGGUUGGUUUGAGACUUCUGAGGCUAGGCCUCGUGGCACAGAUUUGCUUCGUGAUUCAUUGGACCGGGUUUGAGUGAUUCAGGACAGGCUACGAGCAGCUCAGAGUAGACAGAGGAGUUAUGCUGAUCGCAGACGUCGUCCAUUAAGUUUCAAAGUUGGUGAUAGGGUCAUCCUGCAAGUAUCGCCUAUGAUCGGUGUGAUGAGGUUCGGAAGAAGGGACAAGCUUAGCCCUAGAUGUAUUGGACCUUUUGAGAUCCUACAGAGAGUUAGGGAGGUAGCUUAUGUGUUGGCAUUGCUACUUGCUUUCUCAGCCAUUCACCCGGUGUUUCAUGUAUCUAUGUUGCGACAGUAUAUUCCUAUGAGUCACACGUACUUCAGUGGGAUUUGGUUUAGUUAGAUGAGGGAUUGACGUUUGUAGAGGAGCUAGCGUCUAUUUUGGUGAGGGAUGUCAGGCAGUUGCGCUUCAAGGACAUCUCGGUAGUCAAGGUUUAGUGGCAUCACCGUCUAGUUGAGGAGGCUACCUGGGAGGUCGAGCGUGACAUAUGCGUCCAGUAUCCCUACCAGUUUGAGCCUUCAGGUAUGACCUUAUCUUUUACUUUAGUAAUGGAUGUUAUAAUGACCGUUACAGUCAUUUUCCUCUAUUUUCAUAUAAUUUUAGUACCAUCUAAAUGUAUCAUGGACUAUUUAAUUUAAUUUGGCAUUUGGUAGAAAUAUAAUUUAGUACCCUUCUAGAAUAUUUUCGAUAUUGGUAAAAUUCUUUAAGUGAUGAUAUAUUUAUAUCACUUUAUAAUAGACUUUUAUGAUUUAUUAAUAUUUUAAGCGGAGAUAGUAAUUUUAAAAAUAUUAAAAUAUUAUUAUUAUAUAAUAGAGAUUUUGUUGGAAAUAAUUUUUUAUUAAUUAUGAUAUAUUCAAAAUACUAUAAUUAUUUUACCACAAACUUAUACAAUACCCGAAUAUAUAUGUAAUGUAGAAAAAGUUAUUACUUAUGGAUAAUUAUCACCACACGUAGGAAAGAAAUGUGCACAGCGACAUGGUGUUAGUUGGCAGCCAUACACUUGUCCCAUUGGCCAUUUGGAAAAGUCUUCAUCUUCUUUUAUAUAUACAUAUAUUGACUAAUAUAUAUUCACACAACCAUAAAUGAUAGUGGUGGUAUUCAAUAAAUAUUCUGUUUAGCAAUAAGGCAAGUCUAAGUGCUAGUGCUCUUAUGUAUAUGCAUAUACUGUAUGUCUGUAUAUACACUCUGUAGAAAUAGUUUUAGGGGGGAAAAAAGAUAUAUUUUGGCACCAUUUGAACAACAAAUUAAAAUUUGAUUAUUCAAGCAUGGAUUCUAGUAGCGUUAUUUUGAGGCUUCACGAAAGGGCUUUUAAUGUUGGCGUCUAGGUAGGAUAGGCUUACCCUACCUUUAGAUUGAGCUUAUUUAUUGAAAUCUUAAACUAUUAUGCUAGCUUUGGAUAAGUGCUUGUAGAUGCGUAUUAUUUGAUUUAUAUAAACUGUCUUAUUUAUCUGAACUAGGACCCCAUUUUAGUAAAUAUUGAAAUAUUAUCUUUUAAUAUAAUAUAGCAUAUAUUACUUUAGGAUGUGAAACUAAAAUGCAAAAAUCUUGAAAUCAUCCCUUUUUAAUUAAAAAUGGUGGAUGAUUAUUUAGAAGUUGACAUUGUUAUGAUAUGGUAUGAAUUUUAAUAUUAUAGUUGGGUAUGGUUACUAUGAGUUAUGGUUCAAGUCCGACACUUGAUUAUUAAUGUUACCAUGAGUUCCGGUUCGAGUUCGGCAUUUGAUUAUUAAUGUUACUAUGAGUUCGGGUUCGAGUCUGACAUUUGAUUAUUAAUGUUACUAUGAGUUCUGGUUCGAGUCCGGCAUCUGAUUAUGGUUAUGAUUCCUCUGAGUUCCGGUUUGAGUCCGGCAUUUGAUUAUGAGUUCUAUAUAUGUGGCCUAUCAUUAUUACCCACUAUGUCUGGUUCGACUUUGGUACGUGUCCUCUUGUUCUUAUCCAUUACUAUCAGUUUGAGUUUGGUGUCUGUCCUUUCAUUACUACCCAUUGGUACCGGUUCGAGUUCGGUGCACAUCUGGAUGACUAUCAUGAUUUAUUGAGAUUAGCGCAGUUAUAGAUUAUUUAUGUUUAUUUUCAUUACAUGUAUGUCCUACCGGCUUAUGGGUGUACGAUUGGGUUAAUUGUCUUCUCCAGUAUGCCUAGCGAGCUUAUGGGGGCCCAGCUAGGUUAUGUUUGACUUUUCUGUCAUUACUGCAUUAUUUAUUUUCUGUAUCGCUUAAAUUUAUUCCUUUAUCUCAUUAGCAUAGCUUGGCAGUUGUUUACCCUUUCUACCCUUUUACUGUUGACUUAUAUUACGCCUUCACAUUAUUGUUAUACCUUUUCUGUAUUGAGCUCAGUCGGCCGAUGAUGCCUACUGAGUACCCGUUGUUUUGGUACUCUUACUAUACUUCUACAUCUUUUUCUUGAUGCAGAUCUGGGUACCAACAGUUGACGGUGACAUGACUCCUACCUCCUAGUACUGAUUCAGAGCAGGGUGGGCUUGCUAUCGUCCGAGGAUGAUCCUCCUCUAUCUACUCUACGUAGUCUCUUGCUCUAGAGACUGCUUGUGUAUAUUGUGUACAUUUUAAAUUUCUUGUCUAGUACUCUGGGUAUCUGCUAGUAGUGACUCUAGUACUGACCUUAUUAGGUCUUCGGAGGGAUUCAUUUGUAUAGUUGGUCCUUUUUCCUCUUCUCGUUUUGAUAUUAUAUAUAUAUAUAUAUAUAUAUACACACACUCCCUUCUUAGUUUUCACUUAUUAUUGUUGUUUUUAUUAUUAUAAGUGAUCUUUUAUUUGAUCUCUGCCUAUUAGCCCGUUACCUAUCAUUUUGGACUAUGGCUUGGAUUGCCUACUGGUGGGUUAAAGUAGGAGCCAUCACAACUUAAGAAAUUGGAUCGUGACAAUUGCUCCAAUAUUGUAUCAAAGAUAUCAUCGAUGAUUUCUCAUUUUGUAUCGAUUUACAAUGCAACAUAACAUUUUGAGAUCUCAUCAUUUCUUUAUUUUCAGGUACCUGAACCUCUCAUAAGGUUUCAUGAAGUGUUAUGUCGUAGGCUCUUCAAAAGUACAUUGCCUUCUUAUUACGAUUAUUUGCUCUUUAUUUUUCUAAGAUUAUUUCAUUUGGAACCGAUUAGUCUACCACUCUUCAUGCAUGUAGAGACUUUGUCCUUUAGGAACACAAAAUAGGAGCACUUGCAGCUUAAAUAUGAGAUGCUUUCGGCAUUUGACUUGAAUUAUCUUUUGAAUGAGCAUCUGGUGAUAAUUCCUAACAUAUUUCAUAGCUGCUUAUAAUCUCCCCCCUAUAUAAGAAAAACUAACAUACAUCCUCUAUCUUAUUUGAGGAAUCCAUCUUUGUGCAUCAUGGUAUAUUCAUAAAUAGUAUACCGCAAAUCAAAACUAUUAGAUGAAAUAAUUGGUUCCUAACCUUGAACCAAUUGAGAGGGAAAGAAUAAUUAUAAUUUAUUGAUCUAAUGCGUACAAGUCUUAUUGCAUGCACCAUAUCAUAUUUUAGACCAACACAUGAAGCUUUGUUCUCAUCAGUAAUGGUUUAUCUAUUUAUUGAAGGCAUUCAAUGCCAAACUAUUUUCAUCAAGAUGAAUUGUCUUGAUUGCACAAUCAAAAAGUUAUGCUCUUAACUCAAUUUUAUUGAGUAAGCAACUUUAUGAAUGUCAAACUACAUAUUGACAAUAAUGUACAUGUUAUUAUUAAUAAGUUAUGCUCUUAACUCAAUUUUAUUGAGUAAGCAACUUUAUGAAUGUCAAACUACAGGUUGACAAUAAAUGUACAUGUUAUUUUUAAUAAGUUAUGCUCUUAACUCAAUUUUAUUGAGUAAGCAACUUUUUGAAUGUCAAACUACAGGUUGACAAUAAAUGUCCAUGUGAUUAUCUUAUUGAUGCAUCUUUUCAACAUAUCACAUGAAAGGUGAACAGGACCUUAUUCACCUUUUAUAUUUUUCAUAUUUUGAGGGAUCCAAUCCAAUAAUUAGUUGGUCCAACCAACUUAUCAUGAGAACAAACAACAUGAAUAAUUCUUGAAGAAUUUUAUAAUUCUUUAUUACAUGUCCAAUACUCAAUAUGCAUAUCUUCGGGUUGUCAUAAUCAUUCAUGUCAACUUAUGAACUCUUAUUCUAGCAAAAUCCAAGUUUACCAUGACAUGUACCUUUUUACUUUAGUAAAUUUCAGAUUUACUAUUACAUGAAUAAAUUUCAGAUUUACUACUUUAGAAGUAGAUUUCAAAAUAACUCUUCUUGAUUAUUCUGCCACAUUUGGAGGUGAGUUGUGAAGCCAUCACAAUCAAGUUCACGUUUGUCGAUAAGCUUCACUAAAUAUCAUCACAUUCACCCAGGGAAUGGAUUAUGCUUAUAACAAUUAAAAUUCUCAUCCUCAUGAAUGAAAUAUAAUCGUGUCUUAAGCCUAUCAAAUUGAUAGCUUAUAACCUCUUUUAUGAUAUUGCUACUUCAGGAGCAAAUCGAGGCAUACAUAUGAUCUAGAGAAUUUUUUUAUGACAUAUCUUAUGAUCAUAAUAUACGUGUGAAAAUAUCAUCACUUUUGAUGAUCAUUAUCACAUUGUCCCUCCACGCAUAUAUUCGUGCAUUCAAUCACUUGUCUUAUUUUCAGACAUAUUAUGCAUUGCUAUCAUAUACACUUCAAGAAUGAAGUAAGUUGUCAUAUUUCAAAUUUAUCAUAUAUUGAUACCACAUUCACUUCAUGGAAUGGAGCAUAUUCAAUGGGACAUAUUUCAUGACUUUUCAUUAAAAACACAUUAUUUUGCCUUAGCCAUCAUAAUAUCAUCAAUAUGGUGCAUUGAUAUUCAAACUCAACGUCUUACCCAUAUAAAAGGGUCUUAGGGAUAAAUUGAUGGGACUUAAACCCAACAUAUUAUCAUCCCUUUUGAUAAUAUUGUUCUUGAGGAAUAAAUUUAAAACAUAAAUGGUUUCAAACCAAUUAUUUUUCCUCAAAUCCAACAAUAAUUAUAUUAUUAGUAACAAAAGACAGAUAACAUAAGAAAUUACUAACCUUGAAAUUACCUUUAAAUUUAUAAUCGCAUCUUGUUUGAUAGAGUCUCGUGCUGAUAACGUGUUAUGAAAUAUAAAGAAAGGACAACAAAAAGAGUAGCGAGAGAAUAGUUACUAAUUCUUAUUUCUCUUGAGGGAUGAAAGAUCACAAGAUUGAGAAUACAAUGAAUAAAAACCCUCUAUUUAUAGGGGAAAAUACUCCUAGUUUCUAACCAAAAUACAGAUUACUUCAAAUUUAGAUAGAUAUCAACUAGAUCUUAUUAGAUCUUAUAGACAUUCACUAUAAUGUAAAUACAUUUAUAACAUUAAAGUAAUUUUUUUAUAUAAGUUAAAAAAAGUUUCACUUUAUAUACAUUAUGAGAGAAUUCCUCUAAUAUAAUUCUUUGAAUAGUAUAUAUCUAAUCAUGAAAUCUCCAUAAUAUAUACAUAAGGUGCGAGUUGUGCAUAUAUAUUUUAGUGGAAUAACUUUUCGCUUAGACGAAGGAAAUAAAAAGAAUGUGGAUAAGUAUAUAAUUUAAACUUUUCGUCAUGCAUGUCAUGGACAACUCUAACAAAUGAAAAACUACAAAAAGUAUUUGAUAUUCUAUUUAUGAAAAAUGCCGCAUAUUUUUUGAAUCUUACAAUUUACAAAGUGCAAAUUUAUUCACUUGUCAUAUACAUAAAAUUCUUUAUUCACUUGUCAUAUAUACAAAAAAAACUUUUUUGACACAUAUUUAUUUAUCAAAUAGACAAAUAAUAUCAUAAAUUUAUUUUUGAAAAUCCAUAAAAGAGAAAAAAUAAAGAGGGAAGAGCAUUUUUCAAGAUAGAAAAGACAUGCAAUUAAAUCUUUUAAAAAUUUACAAAGCAUAAAAAAAUAUAGUACGACUGAUGAAAUUUACAAGAAAAAUAAAAUAAAGAAAAGGCAAACUUUAAAGGAAAAAUUAUUUUUCUUUAAUCAUUAAAAUUUGGCCAAUGAAAAAUUUGACAUUUUCAGGUCCUCUAACACCAUGCACAAGCCAUUGACUUGUUUAAGGUGGAUGCAUACUCGAUGGUGGUCGUCAAUAUUGAUUUAAAUUCUUUCUAUGGAUUUCUAUUUUAAGCCUUCCAAGCACCUGAGUUAAUAAAAUCAUGAUUCAUGUACAAUACACAAACACAACAUAAUAAAAGUGACUUGAAAGUGAUAGUUGUAUAUGAACCAUAAAGUAAUACUAAAUCAAUUCUUAAGGUUACAACACUUCUCCAUCAACUUGUGAAACAUUUGAUCAAUAUAUAUAUAGUUAGAUGUGAAUUAGGUGAUUAAGUGAAGAAUUGAAAAGACAAAAAACAAACAAAUUGAAUACUUACAAUUUAAUAUACAUAAUUGUAUAAUUAUUUUUAAUAACGAUUCUAUUUCAAAUUUAGAAAAUGCUAAUGCCCCGUACCAACAUUAUUUUUAUACAUUUACUUCUUUAAAUCAUUACAACUAUGUAUUUUACUCUAUUCAAUAAAAUUGUAUUCCUUCCACUCCCUUAUUUAUUAGAUAAGGUUUAAAGAUUAUAAAGAUAAGAAAGUCAAGAGUCGAAAAUAUUAUUAUGUAGAUUUUAGUGUCAUUAAAACUUUUAAUGAAUGAUUUGUAACUAAAAAAUUAUGAAAAUUUUAUAUUUAAGAAUUUUUAGGAGGAAAACUAUUUUUAAAAAAGGAGAAAAAAGCUAAAUAGUAAUGGAGCUCAUAAAAAGGUGUCACUUUAAAAUAUUUAAUAUAUAUAGACAACAAAGUUAAUUUUAUUAGAGAUUAGAUCACAAAGACAAAAAAAUUUAUUUGAAUAUUGGAGUUUUAGAAAUGCAUGUUCAAAUUAAUUGUUAGUGUAAUGGCACAAUGAUUUUUUAUUUUUUUAAGAAAGAAAACCUAUUCCUCGUUAACAUGAAAUAUUUCUGCAUGGUGUGUAUCUUUCAUCGUCUAAAUGAUUUUAAUCAUUUAAAAUCAACGAAUGAAAAAUUUAUGAUAGAACCAACAACAUAAUCUGAAUUAAUUUGUGAAAUAAGUGUUUUUGUUACAUUAAAAAUAGAAUAUGUCACGUUAGAAUGUAUCGUCCUAAAUUUUUUUUCCUCUUAUAGACAAAGGACAAUUCAAAUUUUAUAAAUAAAAUGAAGCACAAAUUAAAAAAAAAAUUCAAAGUAGAGAAAAAUAAAACGAAAAUCACCACUUACCAUAUAAGAAUCACAAGUAGGAAUUAAGGUUGUAUUUAGUAUGAAGAAUAAUAAUUUUUUUUUAGAAAAUAGGUAGUUAUUUGACUGUUUUCUUAAUUAAUUUAAGGCAAAUAUAUUAAUUUGAAAAAUAUGUUUUAAAACAUUUAAAUCAAUUAAACAGAAAAAAUAGAAAAGUAUUCUUUCCCUUUCAUACCAAAUAUACCUAAAUAUAAAUAUUUUCGGUGAUAAAAAAAAGAAAUUCGAAUAUAUUAAAAUUUGCAUUGCCUAAACUAUCAUACUAAAAUCUCUAUAACCAAAAAUCAAUUAAUGUCAAAAAGUUAUUUUGUAGGAAUUAAAAAAAAAAUCACAUAAAAAUAUAUACAUAAAUCAAUUGUAAGAGAACUCCCUUCUCCACUCAAGUCCAGAUAUUGCAACCAUCCUUUGGCUAUCUACUGCUACAUACUCGUUGAAAAUAAGAGUCAUCACUCCAAAAGUUAACAACAAUAAGCAAAUCAAAGAAAAAAAGAAUCAAAAAAUGUGCAUAAAAUUAUAGGUAGAGGAAAACUUGCAGAACGAUACAUACAUAAGGAUGAAAAACAUGCACAGACCAAAGAAGGCAAAGCAAUAAUUUAAAGACAAUAGCCUUAAAAUACAUGUUCUCUGAUUGACAAAAAUAAAUCAAGAAAUUACUAACUAAGAUAAAUUGUGUUGGUAUAUAUAUAUAUAUAUACCUUCUAACAAAAAUAUAAUGAAAAAAAUUCAAAUAACAUAAAAGUUAAAGAGAGAAUCACUUUGCCACUAAAUUAAAAAAAAAAAGACUUUAUGUACCUUUUAUGGAUGUUGAGGAGUAGCCAUAGAAAAAAAAAAUUAAAGAGAAAAAUAAAGAAGCCAAUGAAUUAGGGAAUAUUUUAUAUUUGUCCAUAUUAUAAAGUGACAGAAAGGAUAUCAAAAAUUCAUACAUUAUACAUAAAUGCACAUUAAUAUAGCUAAUUAAGAAGAUAAUUAUAAUGAGAGGUGAAAAGUUUAAUUGAAUCUAAUCAUUUUUGAGGCUUUUUAAAAUAAAAUAAAAUAGAUAAAUAAAGAAAAAAAAUCAAUAAAAGAAGAAUAAAAAUAAAUAUGAAGAUAUUAUAUAUAGAUAUUUACAUAGAAUAUAAUGACAAAAAUAAGAAAAAGGCCAAAAAAAAAAAGAAGAGAACAAAUACAAAUGAUCGUAUCAAAUUUUGUAUCUAAUAUGUAUUAAAAUUUUAUUAUGUAUUGAAAUGUAAAUUUAUAUUUUUGUACAAACAUAUUAAAUGGAUAAAAUUAAUUAAAAAUUAAUUAAAUUAGAAAUAGAAGAAUUCAUGAAUACAUCUUAAGAUUUCUAAUAAAGAAGGCAAUUAUAAUGGGAGGUGAAAAAUUGACGAGUUGAAUAAAUAAUUUUUAAACUAUGAAAGUUAAAAUAAAUAGAUAAAUAAAGAAGAAAUGGUCAAAAAAGGAGAAAAAAGAUAAAUAGGAAUGAUGGACAUAGAGAGGUGCCACAUCAUCUAUAUAUAAUAUAUAUUGUUCGCAAUAAAUUUUUGUGGUGCUGAAAAUAACUGACAAGCAAAAAUAAAAUGAACAAAAGGAAUAAUUUUGUUUAAAUGAAUCUUGUGAAUACAAUUUUGUUGUUCUCUUGAUUCUUCUCUCCUAAACUUAGAAAUGAUCCGAGGGCAUUCAGUAGCGUGUUUCUCGAAUCGUUGGAUGAUUUGAACUCCUAGAGACAUAUUUCAAUCAUCGGGAAUAUUGAAAAGUGUUUUAUCACUUUGGAAUAAUCUCUGGAAAGAACUUCGUUGAUUGCUUCUUGCAAGAACUUGAUGGUCAAUGCUGAUGUUGCUAAUGCUUGUCAAAGUCCUCUUUUCCGAGUCUCUCCUUUUUUUCACCCCUUUAGAAUGUUAUGUUAUCCCCUAUUUAUAGUUGUACGAGGCAGGCCUAGUUGCUUGUGAUUGGCCGAAAACAUGUCAUUUGGGACACUUGGUGCCUUUUGACUGGUAUUUGAAUUUGAAUGAGAUUUCCACAUCAUUUGUACAUGUGGCGACAUCUCAUUGGUUUUGUAUUUGACUGGGAUGCCACGUCACUUGAUGGGUCAGGGCUUCAAGGUGAGAUGGACUUUGAUGAGGAAUAGAAUAGGCUUAUUAUUUUUUUAAGCCCAAAAUAAUUUUAAACCCAAUAAAAUAUGGAUCAAAUUAAAAUUUUAUUUGAAUUUGAUCUAAUAAAUUUUAGGUGUUUACAGAUGCCCCCUACUUCAAGGUUGGUCGACGUGUAGGCUUGCAAAAAUUUGGCGGCGAGACUUGAAGUACUCAAGAAUGUGUUUUCAUUCUCGUGACUUCAAAGGUAUUUGUUUCUCAUUGCUGCAUCCUAGUUAGACCAAUACCUGCGAAUGGUCUAACUAAAGUUUCCUCCAUGAACUUUCACGUCGUGAAAGUCUUCGUCAAAAUAACCAAUGUUUUAUUUGUGGUGAUCCUCAUUUUUCAUCCAUAAUCGAGUACAAACUCGAUAUUAUUUCAAGAGUAUUAAAAAAAUUGACCAACUUGAUUUUUUUGACUCUUUUUAGAUAAGUAUGAACAUAAGAAAUCGCCACCUUAUUAUUUAUAUAAGUAGUUUUUACUUGCACAAUAAUGUGACCCUCUCAAUGUCUUUGAAUUAAAAGGAUCAACACAACUCUCUCACUUGACAUAUUGCACGUGUGAAGUAAAAAAGUUGAUUUAAUUUUUUGUACCAAAGGAAAAUAUUAACUUUCCUUUUGGUUUUAUGUACCAAAGAAAAAUAUCAACUUCCCUUUUGGUUCCAUGUACCAAAGGAAAAAAGUAUUAACUUUCCCUUUGAUUUCAAGAAAGAAUUAAAGUCACCUCAAAAGAAAUCUCCUCAAUAUGGUAAUUUUUCAACUGAUUGACAAUUUGAAAUUCCCAAGGAUUCUCAUCUUCUAAUUUUGCCAUAAUAUUCCUUUGUACACAAAUUGAAAAUUCUUCAUAGGAUCCUCUAUAUAAGGAGAUGUUAUGAAAUCACAUCAACCACAAUUUUUUGAAAUCCAUAACCCUUGCAAAGACAUCCCUUGGCCUCUUUGUGACCAUGUAUUUGAAAAACACUGCUGGUGCACUUCAACCUUUUUGGCAGCAUUGGUAGGCGUCAUGCAAAGUAUACAAUCUCCCCGCAAUAUUGACCAAAGAAGUACAUGGUGUAUCUUUCCUGAUUUUCAACUUCAAACACUCACAGAGUAAAUGUCACGACCCAAACCAGGGCCCUGGCCGUGAAGGACAUCCCGAACCAUCAAGGCCCGAGAGCCCUUCUAACUUAUAAUCAUACACACCAUUCAUACACAAUAAGGAAAUGCAGAAAAAUAUAACGAAACGAAAUCGUGGUCAUAAGUCUGAUACAAAUUCAACAAUGGAAAAAUGAAAUCCAAACCCUCUAAUAACGUCUGAAAAACCAUCUGUAAAAUCUCUACUACAUGACUAAUAAAAACUAUCUGAAAAUUUUAGGACAAGGCCCCAGUAGACCAAAACUAUGACUAAAGAUAAAAGUCUGAAAAUAAAUAGGCCUUCUGAAAUAUAAAAGGCUUACCGACUGAACUCGGCAUUUUUAUCUGAAGAAAUCUACUGCUUAUCAAGACCCCUAGAUUGUACCUCAGAACUUAGAAGGUAGGGGAUCAACACAGAUGUAGGGGUAUGUAGACCAAUUCAAAAUAAAGCUUUUAAUAUAAAUAAAUAGUUGAGAGCUAGUCAUAAAACAUUAUAUAUGAUAUAAAUUCCAAAACACAUAAGCAUCUUUGAUAUUCAUAAAACCUUUCUAUCAAUGCAAUCACUAAUCUUUAUAUUACUUCUGUGUUAGGUGGCACUGCCAUACAAGUCUGAUAUUCCACGGGCUAUAUGAAAUCCGUCAUUGACUUAGCGACAAAGCCCCCAACCCAAGUGUGCUGCAAGGGUUGGAGUGUCUGAUUUUGAUACACCACAGGGCACAAGGUCAGCGUAUAAUAAUAUACCUGGGCAAUAAGUUGUCUGAACUCGUUCUUUCUUCGGGGAACCACCUAAGCUCUCUUUAUGCCCAAUUUUAGUCUGUUCUAAAACAUGCAUCAUUCUAGUUUCAAAAUAUGAAAAUCUGAUUUCAAACAUAUAUUCUAUUCUAUUCUGAAUUAACAUGGCAUUAUCUGAGUUGGUGUCGUCACCCCAAGAAUUGCAAGUCCUAUUUUCUGAGUCAUAAUGCAUCAUGCAUGAUUCUAUCAUUAAAAACUCAAUUCAGACCACCCAAACAUGCAAAUAGUAUAUGAGAUUUCAUGUUCUGAAAGCACAAGUCAAAACUAUGCAAGGAUUAUCAUUCUUUCAAUAACAAUGUGGUGGUCCUGAAAUCUUGGUCAAACUAUGAAACUCUUUCCAUUAGAUAUUUAUAUUCAAUAUUUAUCAAUACAAGCAACCCUCUCUUUUGAUUCAAAAAUUAUUUUCAUGUCAUAGUAUAAAUCAAUACAUUUCGUAUCAUGUUUUUCAAGAUGCAUUUAAAAACAAUCCAUAUCAUAUGAAAAAUGGGAUAAAUCAUAUCAAAAGAGGGAUUUCAUAUGAGUCAUGCUCUCAAUUUAAACAUCACAUUAAAACACAUACAUACAUAUACAUAGGAUUUCAAAUCACUUCGGGGGAAGGCCUAAAGACCAAACAAUAUUAAUUAAAGCUUCUAUAACAUUCUAGUAAUGGAAAAAUUCAAACCCUUUCUGUAAAAUCAUGAUUUCUAAAUCUUUAGCACGAAUUAAAGAAGAUUUCUUUGCCCAUAAAUUUUUAGGAAAACCUCACGUACCUUAAUUUAGGAAUUUAGUGGAUGAUUCUUGAAUCCUACAAUUUGGAGAUUCCAAAUAUUCAAUCAAUCUUGAAAACCCACGGUUAAAUCUUGAGUUAUUUAAGUUUUUAGUUUAAAACCCUAGAGAGUGUUCUUGUGAAUUUUUUGAUGAAAAUAUGAAUAAUGUGGUCACUUGGGAGUGUAAUCUCAUGUUUAAGAUGAUAGGGGGUAAGGGUGGAAAGUACCUAAUAUACUCUUAAUGAGAUGAAAUAAAAUAUAUAACUGGGAGCCCAAUUUUAUGGGCCACCGCAAUGCGCCACAAUCGCGGUGGCUCACUGGAAAUUGACGAAUGGGAUUCUUAGGGUCACCGUGAUGUGGAGCCAUUGCGUUGUCCCAUUGGUUGGGACCUGAAACUUUAGCACAACAUGCAACAAUUGCGCUAGGCUACUGAAAUUUGACAAUUGUUAAAUAGACCCCCCUCCGUGAUGGGCAAAGCACUAAAAUGGCGAUGUAUUUUUGACUAGGACUAAAAUUACAUGCACUACUUUUGCGGGGUAUUGCAUUAUCCCCCCUUGGGAUCAUUCAUCCCCGAAUGAUGACGCGGAACAUAGAUAAGCAUGAUUUCAAGCAUACUAAGUCCAUAAAAGAAAAAGACAAGAAUUGUACCUUCUAUUUCAUCAUUCACCGGAUCAAAUAAGCCUGGGUGUCUAUCUCUUAUGUAACCUUCUGAUUCCCAAGUUGCUUUCUAAAUCUUUUGAUUUUUCCACAUCACUUUAACCGUGGCUAUUUCUUUGCUCCUCAAUUUCCUAACUUGGUGAUCCAAGAUUGCCACGGGCUCUUCUUCAUAGGAUAAGGAGUCUAUCAUUUUUACCUCUUCUAUAGGCAACACUAAUGAAUGGUCUCCAAUACAUUUCUUUAUCAUAGAUUUGUGAAAUACCGGAUGAACAGAACCCAAACUUACACGCAACUCUAACUCAUACGCAACCCCACCCAUCCUUCUCAAAAUCUGGUAUGGCCCUAUAUAGCAAGGACUCAGCUUACCUUUCUUCGUGAAUCGAUAACCCCCUUCAUAGGGGAGACUUUGAGAAAUACCUAAUCACCAAUUUCAAAUUCUAGCUCCCUUCUUGUAACAUCGACAUAGGAUUUCUGUAUACUAUGGGCUACCUUAAGUCAUUCUCUAAUAAUAUUCAUGUCCUCCAUUGCCUGAUAAAUAAGAUUAGGCCCAAUCAACUGCGUCUUACCAACUUCAUACCACUAUAUCGGUGACCUAAAUCUUCUCUCAUACAAUGCCUCAAAUGGAGCCAUCUUGAUACUGGUAUGGUAGCUGUUAUUGUAAGCGAACUCUAUCAAUGGCAAGUGAUAUACCCAAAUACCUUUGAAGUCAAUCACACAGGCCCUCAACAUAUCCUCAAGGGUCUGAAUGGUGCGCUCAGCUUGCCCAUCAGUCUGAGGGUGGAAUGCAGUAUUCAAAUUCACUUGGGUACCUAAACCUCUCUGAAAAGAUCUCCAAAACUGAAAAGAGAAUUGCGUACCUCAAUCAUAUAUGAUAGAUACAGGUUCUCCAUAUAAGCAGACUAUUUCCUCAAUGUAAAGCUUGUCAUAAUCAUCUCCCGAAUAGUUGGUCCUCACAGGCAGAAAAUGAGCUGACUUGGUCAUCCGGUCUAUAAUUACCCAAAUAGAAUCAUAAUGGUUUUGGGAUCUCGAAAGUCACAUAAUAAAGUCCAUAUUGGUCAUCUCUCACUUCUAUAAAGGCAAAGCUAUAUCUUGGGAUAUACCACCUGGUCUCAUAUGCUCUACCUUAACUUGUUGACAAAUCAAAAACUUGGCAACAAAAGUAGCCAUAACACGCUUCAUAUUAUUCCACCAAUAUAUAGUCUUUAGAUCAUGAUACAUCUUAGUAGAGCCUGGGUGAACAAAAUACCUCGAAGUGUGAGCUUCGUCAAACAUAGUCUACCCUGAUAUCUCAAAAUUACAUCACCAUCAAUUUCGAAAGACAUCACCUUCUGAGGACACACAUCUUUCUUGAUCUGCUUUAAGAUGGGAUCUUCAACCUGCUUCUCUUUAACUUCUACACAAAGGGAAAAUUUAGCUAUCUCAUGAACAACCAAUCUCCCAUCUUCGGAAUCCAAGAGUCGUACUCCUAGAUUUGUAAGUCGGUGAAUAUCCUUCACCAUCUCCCUCUUCCCCUUUUCAAUAUGCGAAAGGCUAACCAUAGAUAAUUUAUUGAGGGCAUCGGCUACCACAUUUACCUUGCUCGGAUGGUAGUGCAGGCUCAGGUCAUAAUCCUUCAAAAGCUCUAACCAUAGUCUUUACUUGAGGUUUAAUUCUUUCUGCGAGAAAACAUACUGUAAACUCUUGUGGUCAGUAAAUAUAUCAACAUGUACCCCAUAGAGAUAAUGUCGCCAAAUUUUAAGAGCAAACACCAUAACCGCUAAAUCUAACUCAUGGGUGGGGUAAUUUUGCUAAUGCACCUUCAACUGCCUAGAUGCAUAGGCCACCACUUUACCGUGCUGCAUAAGUACACACCCAAGGCACAAUAAACCCCUCUGUACCUUCCGAAAGAGUCAAAAUAGGAGCAGUUGUUAGUUUAUCUUUAAACUUCUCAAAACUAUCCUCACAGGAGUCAGACCACACAAACUUUACCUUUUUUUGUGUCAACUUAGUGAUUGGUGCAGCUAUGGAAGAGAAACUCUCUACGAACCAUCUGUAAUACCCCGCCAAACCGAAGAAGCUUCAAUAUUGAUUGGAGUCGUGGGUUUGGGCCAUUUUCUCACUGCCUCAACCUUUUGAGGAUCAACCUUAACCCCGUCACUAGACACAAUAUGCCCCAAGAAAGCAAUAGCAUUAAGACAAAAUUCACACUUGGAAAAUUUUACAUACAACUUGUGAUCUUUAAGAGUCUGAAGGAUGAUUCGGAGGUGAUUGACAUGUCCUCCUCACUCUUGAAAUAAAUUAGAAUAUCAUCAAUGAAAACUAUCACAAACAGGUCUAGAAAUUGACGGAACACUCUAUUCAUCAAAUCCAUAAAAGCUGCGGGGGCGUUAGUCAACCCAAAUAACAUGACUAACAGUUCAUAAUGACCGUAUCUGGUUUGGAAGGCUAUUUUGGGAAUAUUUGACUCUCUAACCUUCAACUGAUGGUAUCCCGAAUGAAGGUCUAUCUUUGAAAAACAUUUAGCACCCUAAAGUUGGUCAAAAAGUUUAUCAAUUAUAGGGAGAGGAUAUUUAUUUUUAACAGUAACCUUAUUCAACUGGCGGUAAUCUAUGCACAUACGCAGGGAACCAUCUUUCUUUCGCUCGAAGAGUACAGGUGCAACCUAAGGGGAAACACUAGGAUGGAUAAAAUAUUUGUCUAGAAAUCUGCUAGUUGUUCUUUCAACUCUUUCAGUUUUGUAGGAGCCAUUCUAUAUGGCAGAAUAGAAAUGGGAUAGGUGUCUAGCAACAAAUCAAUACCAAAAUAUAUCUCCCUAUCAGGUGGUAAUCUUGGGAUAUCAUCUGGAGAAACUUCUGGGAAUUUAUUCAGCACAGGGACGAACUGAAGAGAAGGGGUUUUUAUACUCAAAUCUUUAACCCGAAUAACAUGAUACAAAUAGCCCUUAGAAAUGAGUUUACGGGCUCUGAGGUAAGAUAUAAAGUGCCCUCUAGGUGCUAAAGAAUACCCCUCCCACUCUACUACUGGUUCAUUUUGGAAAGAAAAAUUGACUCUUUGGGUUCUAUAAUUUAGUGUGGCAUAGCAUGAAUGAAGCCAGUCCAUCCCUAGGAUAACAUCAAAAUCAAUCAAGUCUAGGUCUAUGAGGUCUGCCAUGGUAUCCCGAUCACAAAUAGUCACCACACAAUUUUUAUACACCCUUCUAGCCACAACAAAAUCACCCACCAGAGUGGAAACAGAGAAAGGUUCUGAAAUUACAUCGGGCUUAAACCCAAAACCAACAGCCAUAUAAGGGGUCACAUAAGACAAGGUAGACCCGGGAUCAAGUAACAUAUAAGCAUCAUGGGAAAAGAUUUGUAAAAAUAUCGGUGACUACAUCUGGUGAGGCUUCUGCCUCCUAGCGGUUGGACAAAGCAUACAGCCAGUUGCGACCACUCCCAACAGCUGAGGUGGAACCCUUUUGAGGCAGCGGUGGUGCGAAAGAGUUUUCCUGAGAUUUGGCACCACCAACACUCCUUCUAGACGAAGGAAAAU
rnacentral:lncRNA from 1 species